rnacentral:rRNA from 1 species
UGAGUAACGCGUGGAUAAUCUGCCCUCUACUGGGGAAUAACUAACCGAAAGGUUAGCUAAUACCGCAUGAGACCACAGUUUCCGAGGAAACAGAGGUUAAAGAUUUAUUGGUAGAGGAUGAGUCCGCGUGGGAUUAGCUAGUUGGUGGGGUAACGGCCUACCAAGGCGACGAUCUCUAACAGGUCUGAGAGGAUGACCUGUCACACUGGAACUGAGACACGGUCCAG